CCAGACUCCUACGGGAGGCAGCAGUGGGGAAUAUUGCACAAUGGGGGAAACCCUGAUGCAGCAACGCCGCGUGAGUGAGGAAGUAUUUCGGUAUGUAAAGCUCUAUCAGCAGGGAAUAGAAAAGAAGGUACCUGAAAAAGAAGCCCCGGCUAACUACGUGCCAGCAGCCGCGGUAAUACGUAGGGGGCAAGCGUUAUCCGGAUUUACUGGGUGUAAGGGAGCGUAGGCGGGAUGGCAAGGUGGGUGUUAAAUCUACCGGCUCAACUGGUAGUCGCACUCAAAACUGCUAUUCUUGAGUGAAGUAGAGGCAGGCGGAAUUCCUAGUGUAGCGGUGAAAUGCGUAGAUAUUAGGAGGAACACCAGUGGCGAAGGCGGCCUGCUGGGCUUUUACUGACGCUGAGGCUCGAAAGUGUGGGGAGCAAACAGGAUUAGAUACCCCCGUAGG
rnacentral:rRNA from 1 species